rnacentral:rRNA from 1 species
ACGCUGGCGGGAUGCUACACAUGCAAGUCGAACGGCAGCACGGACUUCAGUCUGGUGGCGAGUGGCGAACGGGUGAGUAAUGUAUCGGAACGUGCCUGGCGGGGAUAACUACGCGAAAGCUAUGGCUAAUACCACAUACGCCUUCCAGGGAAAGCGGGGGACCUUCGGGCCUCGCACUAUUAGAGCAGCCAAUGCUCGGAUUAGCUAGUUGGUGGGGUAACGGCUCACCAAGGCGGCGAUCCGUAGCUGGUUUGAGAGACGACCAGCCACGCAGGACAGAACUGCGGCCCGGGCCUACGGGAGGCAGCAAGUGGGGAAUUUUGGACAAUGGGGGAAACCUGAUCCAGCCAUCCCGCGUGUGCGAUGAGGCCUUCGGGUUGUAAAGCACUUUUGGCAGGAAAGAAACGGCACCGGGAUAUUACCCCGUGCAGCUGGCUGUAUUACCUGCAGAAUAAGCACCGGCUUGUACUACGUGCCAGCAGCCGCGGUAAUACGUAGGGUGCAAGCGUUAGUCAGGAUGCUGGGCGUAAAGCGUGCGCAGGCGGUGGCGGAAAAGAAGAUGUGAAAUCCCAGAGCUUAACUUUGGAACUGCAUUUUAACUACCGAGCUGAGUGUGUCAGGGAGGUGCGGAAUUCCGCGUGUGGCAAUUGAAAUGCGUAGAUAUGCGGAGGUACCGAUAGCGAAGGCAGCCUCCUGGGAUAACACCAAUAACUCGCACGGCGAUGGGAGCAAAACGGAUUGAUACCUGGUGGUCACCUAACUGAUGUCAACUAACUGUUGAGGGCCUUCGGGCCUUGGUAGCGCAAACUAACGCGUGAAGUUGACCGCCUGGGGAGUAGGUCGCAAGAUUAAAAACUCAAAGGAAUUGACGGGGACGCACAAGCGGUGGAUGAUGUGGAUUAAUUCGAUCUUCAACGCGAAGAGCCUUACCUACCCUCGACAUGUGGAAUCCCGAAGAGAUUUGGGAGUGCUCGCAAGAGAACCGGAACACAGGUGCUGCAUGGCUGUCGUCAGCUCUGUCCGUGAGAUGUUGAGUUAAGUACAACGAAGCGCAACCCCUUGUCAUUGAUUGCUACGAGGGCACUCUAAUGAGACUGCCGGUGACAAACCGGAGGAAGGUGGGGAUGACGUCAGUCCUCAUGGCCACUAUCGAUUUGGGGCUUCACGUCAUACAAUGGUCGGGACCGAGAGGUCGCCAACCCGCGAGGGGGAGCCAAUCCCAAAACUUGAUCGUAGUCCGGAUCGCAGUCUGUCGGCUUCGUGAAGUCCGAAUCGCGCUAAGUAAUCGCGGAUCAGCAUGUCGCGGUGAAUACGUUCAGGUGUUGUACACCGCCCGUCACACCAUGGGAGUGGGUUUUACCGAAGUAGUUAGCUAGCCGUAAGGAGGCGUUACCGUGGUUGUGACUGGGGGUGAAGUCUGUGCUAAGGCCAA